rnacentral:misc_RNA from 1 species
UCCGAGUUGACCCCGGCAGUCUCCUGCGAGUCCCCGCCAUUACGCGCUGGCAACACAGGACAAGGGUUGCGCUCGUUGCGGGACUUAAGCCAACACCUCACGGCACGAGCUGACGACAGCCAUGCAGCACCUGUGCUAGCCCCUUACGGACACGCGCUUUCACGCGCUUUAACUAGCAUGUCAAGCCCAGGUAAGGUGGGGAUGACGUGUCG